ACAGUGGUAGACUAACUAUUAUACUAAUAGCUGACUAGAUAAUGAUAAUCUACAUGGAGCUCUAACUCAUACAAUACCAGUUGUACACUUAAAUG